GACGAACGCUGGCGGCGUGCUUAACACAUGCAAGUCGAACGGAAAGGCCCUGCUUUUGUGGGGUGCUCGAGUGGCGAACGGGUGAGUAACACGUGAGUAACCUGCCCUUGACUUUGGGAUAACUUCAGGAAACUGGGGCUAAUACCGGAUAGGAGCUCCUGCUGCAUGGUGGGGGGUGGAAAGUUUCGGCGGUUGGGGAUGGACUCGCGGCUUAUCAGCUUGUUGGUUGGGUAGUGGCUUACCAAGGCUUUGACGGGUAGCCGGCCUGAGAGGGUGACCGGCCACCUGGGGACUGAGGUACGGCCCAGACUCCUACGGGAGGCAGCAGUGGGGAAUAUUGCACAAUGGGCGGAAGUCGGAUGCAGCAACGCCGCGUGCGGGAUGACGGCCUUCGGGUUGUAAACCGCUUUCGCCUGUGACGAAGCGUGAGUGACGGUAAUGGGUAAAGAAGCACCGGCUAACUACGUG
rnacentral:rRNA from 1 species